CCAAGGUGAAAUCCUAACUUUGCCACUUACUAGCCAUGUGAACUUGGGCAAGUGACCUAAUCCUCUGCAUUUCAUCUCUAAAUUGGGGAGAAUAGAAGCAUCUACUUCAUGUAGUAGCCAGGAUUAGAAGAGAUGGGGCCACUUGAGGGAAAAGACCUACCCAAGGGCACAUAAUCUGUACAUGAGAGAGAGCCAGAUGUAACAGACUGAGUACUGGACUUGGGGUUAAACAGACUGUGAAUCUUUCCACCCCAUUGGCAAGUUACCUUGGACAAGUUACUUUAAUCUCCCUGAGCCUCAAUCUGCUCAUCUUUAAGAUGGAAGAAUAACUGGGCCCUGGAUAGAAUGUGAUGAAUGUAUAUUCUUAAUGAGAAGUGGAAAUAAUUUGUGGUUGAGAGCUGUGCCUCAGAUCAGAGUGACAGGAUACAUGGCUAGGCUAUAUUUUCCAGCAGAUUAAGAGCUGCGGCCCAAGACUCUGAAAUAUGAAGAAAAAAGGAGAAGAUGACAGCAUAUCUUUUUAAAGAAAUAUUUUCCAGCCAAAUGGUGUAGCAGAGGACUUCCAGGAAUUUGUUCUUGUUCUGUAUCAAAGGUGAAGAGUUCGUAGCCUUCAAGGAAACAAGAAACCAUGGGAUGGAGUGAAGGAAGGUGGCCUGGAACCAGCUGCUGAGCCUCUCUGAGCCCCAGUUUCCUCGUCUCUAAAAUGGGGCUGAUCUCCUCUCCCUCAGACUGUUGUUGCAGGAAUUAAAACAGGUGUUGAGUGGGAAAGCAUCAGUCCCAUAGCAAAUGGCCCCUGAGUAGUAGGAUCUGAGUUCUGGUUCUGGUCCUGCUGGGGUAUGGCUGGUUGAGAGGUCAAAGAGGUAAUUAAAGGGAUUGCCAGCUUCAUUAUUGGGAGCUGAGAUUCCAUUUUAGACCAA
rnacentral:lncRNA from 1 species